rnacentral:rRNA from 1 species
GACGAACGCUGGCGGCGUGCCUAAUACAUGCCAGUCGAACGCUUCUUUCCUCCCGAGUGCUUGCACUCAAUUGGAAAGAGGAGUGGCGGACGGGUGAGUAACACGUGGGUAACCUACCCAUCAGAGGGGGAUAACACUUGGAAACAGGUGCUAAUACCGCAUAACAGUUUAUGCCGCAUGGCAUAAGAGUGAAAGGCGCUUUCGGGUGUCGCUGAUGGAUGGACCCGCGGUGCAUUAGCUAGUUGGUGAGGUAACGGCUCACCAAGGCCACGAUGCAUAGCCGAGCUGUGAGUGUGUUCGGCCACACUAUGACUGAGACGCGCCGCAGACUCCUACGGGAGGCAGCAGUAGUGAAUCUUCGGCAAUGGACGAAAUUCUGACCGAGCAACGCCGCGUGAGUGAAGAAGGAUUUCGGAUCGUAAAACUCUGUUGUUAGAGAAGAACAAGGACGUUAGUGACUGAACGUCCCCUGACGGUAUCUAACCAGAAAGCCACGGCUAACUACGUG